rnacentral:rRNA from 1 species
AUUGAACGCUGGCGGCAGGCCUAACACAUGCAAGUCGAACGAGAGGCGGACGGGAGAGUAAUGUCUGGGAAACUGCCUGGUGGAGGGGGAUAACUACUGGAAACGGUAGCUAAUACCGCAUACCAUCAGAUGUGGUCAGAUGGGCUUAGCUGGUUGGUGGGGUAACGGCUCACCAAGGCGACGAUCCCUAGCUGGUCUGAGAGGAUGACCAGCCACACUGGAACUGAGACACGGUCCAGACUCCUACGGGAGGCAGCAGUGGGGAAUAUUGCACAAUGGGCGAAAGCCUGAUGCAGCCAUGCCGCGUGUAUGAAGAAGGCCUUCGGGUUGUAAAGUACUUUCAGCGGGGAGGCGUUACCCACAGAAGAAGCACCGGCUAACUCCGUGCCAGCCGCCGCGGUAAUUC